CAUAUCCACAGGCCAAUGUGAACGGAGCGUCUUCUCAGUUGAUGUUAUUUUCCCCCUAGACUCCAACUUCUAUCAAAUGGACAAGAGACUAAUGAGACACAAGGGCAGGGAGAUAUACUUGUAGAUCCCAGGGGUCUUCCUAAAUGGCAGUGAGAUUACCACCUUCAGCUGAGACUACUGCGUUGCAUAUGUAAGGUGCUUCCUGGAGGAAAAUGGAGCAUUCUUAAAGUGCCGGGCCCACUCAAAACUCCUCUUCGAUUGCCCAUGCAAAGCACGGAGCCAAGAUAGAAAGCGCUGCAUUAAUUUCAGAAGAAAGCCAUGGAUGGAUGAGAUAGGUCAGCAUCACCAGCACCGCCACUGAAUCCGGAGGGAACUGACCCCAGACUCACCUGCCCUGGUCACAUUAAGCCCACCCUUUAUUCGCACUCUGCUCUCUGGCACGCAUGUGCAGAGAGGCUGGAGCUAGUGCCUCUGCAGGAGGGCAGGACGGCCACCCACAGGAACAAGAAGCUGACCGCAGCCCUCUCUCCUCUGCAGGCUGGCCAGUCGAAAACAGAAUCGGGAGGAGAAUAUCGGAGCCAAGAUAAAUCGGGAGAUUUUUACACAGCACAGGUCUAGACAGGACUCGUGUGUUUAUUGGGCCCAACUGGGAUUUUAAUGCAAAAACAACGGGACUACUGAUUUAUCUGAGAAUAACUAAGAUAAAAUAAAAUACUAUGAAACAUGCUCGAACCAUCAGGCAAGAAACAGAGAUAGAGAACAGUUCCAGGCCUUUCUACAGCUAAUAAAGUUACCUUACAUUAAAAUUC